UGAGGAACUUCAAAAGUAUUUCUACAUG
rnacentral:piRNA from 1 species